rnacentral:rRNA from 1 species
AUUGAACGCUGGCGGCAGGCCUAACACAUGCAAGUCGAGCGGAUGAGGGGAGCUUGCUUCCUGAUUCAGCGGCGGACGGGUGAGUAAUGCCUAGGAAUCUGCCUGGUAGUGGGGGACAACGUUUCGAAAGGAACGCUAAUACCGCAUACGUCCUACGAGAGAAAGUGGGGGAUCUUCGGACCUCACGCUAUCAGAUGAGCCUAGGUCGGAUUAGCUAGUUGGUGAGGUAAAGGCUCACCAAGGCGACGAUCCGUAACUGGUCUGAGAGGAUGGUCAGUCACACUGGAACUGAGACACGGUCCAGACUCCUACGGGAGGCAGCAGUGGGGAAUAUUGGACAAUGGGCGAAAGCCUGAUCCAGCCAUGCCGCGUGUGUGAAGAAGGUCUUCGGAUUGUAAAGCACUUUAAGUUGGGAGGAAGGGCUGUAGGCUAAUAUCCUGCAGUUUUGACGUUACCGACAGAAUAAGCACCGGCUAACUUCGUGCCAGCCGCCGCAGUAAUAC